rnacentral:rRNA from 1 species
UGGGGAAUAUUGCGCAAUGGGGGGAACCCUGACGCAGCCAUGCCGCGUGAAUGAAGAAGGCCUUAGGGUUGUAAAGUUCUUUCGGUAUUGAGGAAGGUUGAUGUGUUAAUAGCACAUCAAAUUGACGUUAAAUACAGAAGAAGCACCGGCUAACUCCGUGCCAGCAGCCGCGGUAAUACGGAGGGUGCGAGCGUUAAUCGGAAUAACUGGGCGUAAAGGGUACGCAGGCGGUUAUUUAAGUGAGGUGUGAAAGCCCCGGGCUUAACCUGGGAAUUGCAUUUCAGACUGGGUAACUAGAGUACUUUAGGGAGGGGUAGAAUUCCACGUGUAGCGGCGAAAUGCGUAGAGAUGUGGAGGAAUACCGAAGGCGAAGGCAGCCCCUUGGGAAUGUACUGACGCUCAUGUGCGAAAGCGUGGGGAGCAAACAGGAUUAGAUACCCUGGUAGUCCACGCUGUAAACGCUGUCGAUUUGGGGGUUGGGGUUUAACUCUGGCGCCCGUAGCUAACGUGAUAAAUCGACCGCCUGGGGAGUACGGCCGCAAGGUUA